AUUCGUAACUUCAACCUAGAUCCGAACUCGGGAAUCUCCAACCUCCGACUUUAGUGCGUUCAGAACAAUUGGGAACUAAUAAAAAACAAUCCUUUAACUGGAAAAAUGUGUUUUGAACGGUCAUCCAAUUUGGAAUUACUUGUCGUAAACUCGGUCGUCAUGCCGCUUUCAAAACAACUGCGAACUCUGGAUAAAAUGACAUCGGACUGGGAAAAAUCAUUUUGAAUGGUCAUCCAACUCGGAACUCUUUCUACUUCGUGAUUUUACCUCGUUUUUUCCCGAGUUCCCAGUUGUCAUGAAAGCGCCAUCACCCUAGAACUCCAACUUCUCUGACCUGAAGGUCACUGACUUCACGAUUUUGAGAAUUUUUUUCUCUCCACAUUCUGAGCUCGUUUUUUCCGAGUCCCCAGUUCUCUUGAAUGCACCAAGAGAGUUUAUAUAACGCAAUGGACUGACCAGCCACAUGCUCGCUCAUUCGAUUAGUCUUGUGAUCGGCCUGUAGACGCAUGACGACUUUCUCAAUGUCGAAGUUAUAUCUUAGAAAUGCUUCAUUCGUGUUUAACGUUAGUUAUUGGUACACUGCUGCCACUUGAGUCUUGCAACCCUCCUGAACUGGUCAUUAACGUUAGCUCCAAGUAGCUAGAUUGGUAGUUGUGGAGGGUUUGGCCUUGCAGAACCAUACACGUGGGGAACUGGAGAAACGUAAACCAUGUCGGGUUCUAGAUUCGGGAGACCAGUCCUUCUGGACCUGGCCAGUGUGGAGUGAACCGGCACAUACACCAUUGACUGUGCACAUGGCUGGAGUGACACCGCCCCAAUGAGUUGAUGACUAGGAGAUUUGAAAAGGUGGUGUCCCUUUAAAAUAACAUCCCUUUAAGGUCUCCCUGAGCUCCCACCUAUCCUUCAUAUUCUCUUCCACGUGGCCGGAGUUUCCAAGAUGGUCAGCGCUUCCUUUCUUGCUCUGGAAGUGAUCAACUGGAAGAAAGGAAUUGUGUGGUAGCCCAUAUGGGACUCACCUGGGACAUGGAUACCUGAAGACCUGAGGCUCAAAACAUUGUUGUAAAUAAAUAUCACCUGGGAGCAUGAGCAGCAGUGUGUUUUCCUUUCUCUUUUCCAUGCGUGUUCUGCUUUGUUUUGAGGUUUUGCUGAGUAAUGAUGGUUUUUGUCUGUGAUUAUAGAAAAGAGUCAUUCUUUUAACUUCAAUAAAUAGGUUUUAACCCUG